GACGAACGCUGGCGGCGUGCCUAAUACAUGCAAGUUGAGCGCUGAAGGUUGGUACUUGUACCAACUGGAUGAGCAGCGAACGGGUGAGUAACGCGUGGGGAAUCUGCCUUUGAGCGGGGGACAACAUUUGGAAACGAAUGCUAAUACCGCAUAAAAACUUUAAACACAAGUUUUAAGUUUGAAAGAUGCAAUUGCAUCACUCAAAGAUGAUCCCGCGUUGUAUUAGCUAGUUGGUGAGGUAAAGGCUCACCAAGGCGAUGAUACAUAGCCGGCCUGGGAGGGUGAUCGGCCACAUUGGGACUGAGACACGGCCCAAACUCCUACGGGAGGCAGCCGUAGGGAAUCUUCGGCAAUGGACGAAAGUCUGACCGAGCAACGCCGCGUGAGUGAAGAAGGUUUUCGGAUCGGAAAACUCUGUUGGUAGAGAAGAACGUUGGUGAGAGUGGAAAGCUCAUCAAGUGACGGUAACUACCCAGAAAGGGACGGCUAACUACGUG
rnacentral:rRNA from 1 species